rnacentral:rRNA from 1 species
GACGAACGCUGGCGGCGUGCUUAACACAUGCAAGUCGAACGGUAAGGCCCUUCGGGGUACACGAGUGGCGAACGGGUGAGUAACACGUGGGUGAUCUGCCCUGCACUUCGGGAUAAGCCUGGGAAACUGGGUCUAAUACCGGAUAGGACUCCGGACUGCAUGGUCUGGGGUGGAAAGCUUUUGCGGUGCGGGAUGGGCCCGCGGCCUAUCAGCUUGUUGGUGGGGUGAUGGCCUACCAAGGCGACGACGGGUAGCCGGCCGGAGAGGGUGACCGGCCACACUGGGACUGAGAUACGGCCCAGACUCCUACGGGAGGCAGCAGUGGGGAAUAUUGCACAAUGGGCGCAAGCCUGAUGCAGCGACGCCGCGUGAGGGAUGACGGCCGUCGGGUUGUAGACCUCUUUCAGCGUCGACGAAGCGAAAGUGACGGUAGGUGCAGAAGAAGGACCGGCCAACUACGUGCCAGCAGCCGCAGUAA